rnacentral:lncRNA from 10 species
UUCACCUGCAGGCAGGGCUGAGGAGGAGUGGGAGAGGGAAGGAGGCAGCGGGCUCAUGGGCUCCGCUUUGCUGGCCCCUGCUGCCCCAGGCUCUGCCCGGCUUGGCUGGGUAACCUUGAGCAAGUCUCUUUCCCUCCGUGGGCCUCGGUUUGUCUGUCUGUAUAACAGGGAACUAAGUAGUCUGUAAGGGCCUGGAGUUGUCUUCCUUUCUGAGCCCCACCCACCACCUACUGCCACAGGGAAAUGUCAGACCCAGGGCAGAAGCCAGGAGAGCCGGGGAAGGAGGGAGCAGAGCCUGUUUCCUCCCCUGUCCAGUGGGAGCUGGGGAGCCCUGUGCUGCCCACCUCACGGCUCUCAGCAGUAAGGAGACGGGCGAUGGUCCCCAGUCCAUGGCCGGCCGGCUGGCCUGUUGGAGCCGCUGCAGCAAAGCAACGAGAGCAGUGAAAACAGGAAACAGGCAGCGCUGGUGGAGGGUUCACUGUGGCCAGACACCCAGCAAACACCUGACCACAUCACUGG